rnacentral:tRNA from 1 species
UUAAUUGAAGCCAAAUUAGAGGCUUAUCACUGUUAAUGAUAGAAUUGAGAAAUAUCUCCAAUUAAG